rnacentral:misc_RNA from 1 species
GGUAGUGGUUGAACUGGCUAACGGCGCCCCGCAGGGGUUGCUGAGGAAAGUCCGCUCACCUUGUCAGCAAUGGCAAUCCCAUAAAAUGUGGAAACACAGGGCUCCUGAACAGAAACGAUACCCGAAAGGGAUGAAACGUGCGGGAGUGGUGCAACUCGAAAGAGGCUUAGGUUAAUGCUGGCCCAAGACGAGCUUUCUCGACGCGAAAGGGGAAAACAGAAAGUGGCUUACUAAUCACUGCC